GACGUAGGGCGCGAGCGUUGUCCGGAUUUAUUGGGCGUAAAGAGCUCGUAGGCGGCUUGUCGCGUCGAAUGUGAAAUUUUAGGGCUCAACCCUGACAUUGCAUUCGAUACGGGCAGGCUUGAGUUCGGUAGGGGAGACUGGAAUUCCUGGUGUAGCGGUGAAAUGCGUAGAUAUCAGGAGGAACACCGGUGGCGAAGGCGGAUCUCUGGACCAGUUCUGACACUGAUGAGCGAAAGCCAGGGGAGCAAACAGG
rnacentral:rRNA from 1 species